rnacentral:lncRNA from 1 species
UUCUGUAUCCAAAGACAAAAAGGGAUCAACAAAAAAAGAAGAAGAAAAAAGAGAUCAAAUUUCAAUAGUUCUGCAAAAUUGAGGCUGCAUAACAUCACUGCAAAAUCAAAAUCACCAACAAUAAUAGAUGAUCUCUUUCAAGAUGAAUUUUCAGGGUUGAUCUGUUCUUGGAAAAUAAGGAUUGCAAGAAAAAAACAAUUGCGCAGACAACGAAAUGUCCACCAUUUCAUGGUUACAGAAAUGCCAACUGCAAUUACCAAUUGUAGGUCCAGGCCAUAAAAACAGAGUUCAAGAAUAGCCUAUGACAUAAAUAGUCAUAGAUUAUGACCCUUCCUUUCCAGCACAGCUGGUUGCUAAUCGCAUUAGAAUAAUCUUCAUCUAAGCUCGAACAUGUUCUUAACCGCCAAAAAGAGUCAGAAUACAUGCAUUUAACAUGCCUUUACCUGGUUUUUUCUCCUUUACGUAAUAACAAUACUGGUACUUUUACUGUAUUGCUGCAGAGAUUAGCUCAAUACAGGCAGAAGUUAGAUGAGAUGUUGCAUUAAGAUAUCCAAGAAUUGGUAAGCUUUAAUUGUUUCUUGUUAUCUACAAACUACAGCUUCAACCUGAUUUAAUGUUACGCCUUUUUGGUUCCAACUCCUUAAACAAUUUCGAACAUUUUCCUCUUCAGGGGGCUACCUACAAUUGCAUCACAAUCUCCAUGCUGUUAGUCCUCAUAAACCUAAAGAAGAAAAUGAAGGGUAGAUAUGCGUUGCGGCAAAUGUUCUGAACAACUAGAAAGUUGCUACUGCAUUUUGUGUAACUUGCGUGUUGGGUCAGUCAAGUCUUGUUUAGAGUCCUUGGCCGUGUUUCCUCUCAGGCUAUUAUGUAGGUGCCUGGGAAAUUCUGUUGUUCUUCAAAUCUUGUAAAAGAUGUAUUUGAAUAAAUAAGAGCAUAGUUCAUAUAAGAUGUUCCGCUUCCUAGUUAUUACAAAUUUGAUAAAAGUGAUACACGAGUAGUUUUUUCUCUCGUUAUGUUAAUUGUUCUUUCUAGCAAAGCCAUUAAUGAAUCCACUGCAAUGAAAAGUGAACCAGUUUUUCUUCACGUAAAUGACCAAUAUGUUGUUACAGUUUUUCUUUAUUCAAAGCUUUUCUGUAUCCAAAGACAAAAAGGGAUCAACAAAAAAAGAAGAAGAAAAAAGAGAUCAAAUUUCAAUAGUUCUGCAAAAUUGAGGCUGCAUAACAUCACUGCAAAAUCAAAAUCACCAACAAUAAUAGAUGAUCUCUUUCAAGAUGAAUUUUCAGGGUUGAUCUGUUCUUGGAAAAUAAGGAUUGCAAGAAAAAAACAAUUGCGCAGACAACGAAAUGUCCACCAUUUCAUGGUUACAGAAAUGCCAACUGCAAUUACCAAUUGUAGGUCCAGGCCAUAAAAACAGAGUUCAAGAAUAGCCUAUGACAUAAAUAGUCAUAGAUUAUGACCCUUCCUUUCCAGCACAGCUGGUUGCUAAUCGCAUUAGAAUAAUCUUCAUCUAAGCUCGAACAUGUUCUUAACCGCCAAAAAGAGU